UAGAAAACGCCAUUUUCCCAGCACAUAGUCCACAUCAGUACUCACCCCAUGCCCGAUUAGAAGGACCCUCCCCAAACUUUUUAAAGUCUCCCCCCACCCCCAAUAUGGCAUCUUUUUUUGUCCUGCUUUCCUUGCUCCAUUGAAAGCAAUAGUUUUGCCUUUUAACCUUGGGGAAAAAAAAAAUUCUCCCAGCCCUGCUCUUCCAAAAGAAUGCGGGAAUGGCUGGACAUGGCUUCUAGGUACUUGGGUUUUUUGGAUCACAAGAAUUUUCCCCCUGUAUCUUACCUUAUAAACCAGGAUUGUCCAUGCCGUUCAGCUGGAAAAGGGUUUCAGUAAAACGAAGAAGAGACUGGUGCUCCACGUUCUGUUGUUUGUGAAGAGUUUCAACACCAGGAGUGUGACCAUAGUUAUGAGUAUGACUGAGACACUGAUAACGGUGAUGAGAACAUACAGAGGAAUUCCUGCUUUCUGGAACAGAGGAAAGGAAAAUGAAGUGAAAAUCUCCUAUCCCCAGAGGGAGAGAGUUAGGAGAGCCAAGCGUCUAAGAGGAGGAUUCUUCAGGAGCAGAUGAACAGAAGAUCAGAAAAAGGAAGGAAGAGAUUCAGCAAAAGCAGAAACGUAGAAGGAUAAAGAUCUAAAAUAGUGACAGGUGUAAAGUCAUAUAGAAGGAAAAUAUUAGGGGGGGGGCUAUAUUAUUUUGUGCAAUAUGAAAGCUGCCCCCCCUCAAGAAAAUAAUUUACAUUUGUAUAACAAAAAGCACAAGUGUACCAUCAUUACAAUAUUAAAUACAAUUUUAAUCACUGUUAUAUAAUAAAGAAUUUGUUAUCUCCAACAUCUGUGCACUACCCAUCCUUUCUGUACUUAAAGUGGACCCAUCACCCAAAAAAAUUAUCCA